GAGGGUGUAGCUCAGUUGGUAGAGAGCUUGCCUAGCAUGCAGAAGCCUUAGGUUAGAUCCCAAACACUUGCA
rnacentral:tRNA from 1 species